rnacentral:rRNA from 1 species
CCCGAAGUAAGAAGAGCUAAUUACUAACUCAUUAUUUUAGGGUUUACAAGUUAUGUGGAAAUAUGGUUUAUAGAUAGGUGAUUAGGGGUGAAAUGCCUUCAAUUCUUAGGGUAUCUGGAAAUUUCCAAAAAGCAUUUAGUGCUAAAAGUGAGGUAAUGGAGUAUUUAGAUUUCUUACCUUUCAGUAUUAAUAAUAAAAUUUAGAGAGUACUAGGUUUAAUACCCAAGUUAGGUAAAGAUUCAUAAAUUUAUUAUUUUUAUCAUCUGAAAGCUAGGAAAUUUUUUUAGAAAAUUAAAUUUAAAAUUCAAACUGUUUAAAUUAGUAGUAAUAAAUUUUAAGGCAUAAAUUAGUUUAGUAAGGAUUUAUGAUAGAUUAUUAAAUAGUUAUAAGGAACUCGGCAAAAAGAAUCUUGGACUGUUUAACAAAAACAUAGCCAUAAGAUAAGAUUUAUGGUUAAACCUGCCCAAUGUUUAUAAAUUAAUGGCCGCGGUACCCUGACCGUGCUAAGGUAGCGUAAUUAGUUGGCUUUUAAAUGGAGUCAGGAAUGAAUGGGAUAACCGGGAUUAGCUGUCUCUUUGCUAUUUAAUCGAAUUUACUGAUCAAGUGAAAAAGCUUGAAAAAUGAAAAGGGACGAGAAGACCCUUAGAAUUUCACUUAAUAUAAGUAUAGUAUGCUUUGUUUUAGUUUUGUUGGGGUGACAGAGAAAUAUUUUCUAACUUUCUUUAACUAUACUUGCCGAGUUUACUAAGUAAGGAUAAAUUACCUGAGGGAUAACAGCAUAAUUCUAUAGAUGAGUUUGUGACCUCGAUGUUGGACUAGGAAACUAACAAGCUAGCCGUUUGUUGUGUUGGUUCUGUUCGAACUUUAAUUCCUACAUGAUCUGAGUUCAGACCGGCGUAAGCCAGGUCAGAUUCUAUCUUUUUAAAUAAUAGUUUUAGUACGAAAGGACCGAGCUGUU